CAUAUCACGUUGAAAUAUCGGUUCCCGUACAAUCACAGAAGUUAAGCAAUAUCGAGCCUGGUCAGUACCUAGAUGGUGACCGCUUGAGAAUACCAGGUGCUAUA